UGGGGAAUCUUAGACAAUGGGGGCAACCCUGAUCUAGCCAUGCCGCGUGAUCGAUGAAGGCCUUAGGGUUGUAAAGAUCUUUCAGUGGGGAAGAUAAUGACGGUACCCACAGAAGAAGCCCCGGCUAACUCCGUGCCAGCAGCCGCGGUAAUACGGAGGGGGCUAGCGUUGUUCGGAAUUACUGGGCGUAAAGCGCACGUAGGCGGAUUGGAAAGUUGGGGGUGAAAUCCCGGGGCUCAACCCCGGAACUGCCUUCAAAACUCCCAGUCUUGAGUUCGAGAGAGGUGAGUGGAAUUCCGAGUGUAGAGGUGAAAUUCGUAGAUAUUCGGAGGAACACCAGUGGCGAAGGCGGCUUCCUGGCCCGCGACUGACGCUCAUGUGCGAAAGCCAGGGGAGCGAAC
rnacentral:rRNA from 1 species